rnacentral:rRNA from 1 species
UGACGAGCGGCGGACGGGUGAGUAAUGCUUGGGAACAUGCCUUGAGGUGGGGGACAACAGUUGGAAACGACUGCUAAUACCGCAUAAUGUCUACGGACCAAAGGGGGCUUCGGCUCUCGCCUUUAGAUUGGCCCAAGUGGGAUUAGCUAGUUGGUGAGGUAAUGGCUCACCAAGGCGACGAUCCCUAGCUGGUUUGAGAGGAUGAUCAGCCACACUGGGACUGAGACACGGCCCAGACUCCUACGGGAGGCAGCAGUGGGGAAUAUUGCACAAUGGGCGCAAGCCUGAUGCAGCCAUGCCGCGUGUGUGAAGAAGGCCUUCGGGUUGUAAAGCACUUUCAGUCAGGAGGAAAGGUUAGUAGUUAAUACCUGCUAGCUGUGACGUUACUGACAGAAGAAGCACCGGCUAACUCCGUGCCAGCAGCCGCGGUAAUACGGAGGGUGCGAGCGUUAAUCGGAAUUACUGGGCGUAAAGCGUACGCAGGCGGUUUGUUAAGCGAGAUGUGAAAGCCCUGGGCUCAACCUGGGAACUGCAUUUCGAACUGGCAAACUAGAGUGUGAUAGAGGGUGGUAGAAUUUCAGGUGUAGCGGUGAAAUGCGUAGAGAUCUGAAGGAAUACCGAUGGCGAAGGCAGCCACCUGGGUCAACACUGACGCUCAUGUACGAAAGCGUGGGGAGCAAACGGGAUUAGAUACCA